ACAUGCAAGUCGAGCGAACGGACGAGAAGCUUGCUUCUCUGAUGUUAGCGGCGGACGGGUGAGUAACACGUGGAUAACCUACCUAUAAGACUGGGAUAACUUCGGGAAACCGGAGCUAAUACCGGAUAAUAUUUUGAACCGCAUGGUUCAAAAGUGAAAGACGGUCUUGCUGUCACUUAUAGAUGGAUCCGCGCUGCAUUAGCUAGUUGGUAAGGUAACGGCUUACCAAGGCAACGAUGCAUAGCCGACCUGAGAGGGUGAUCGGCCACACUGGAACUGAGACACGGUCCAGACUCCUACGGGAGGCAGCAGUAGGGAAUCUUCCGCAAUGGGCGAAAGCCUGGCGGAGCAACGCCGCGUGAGUGAUGAAGGUCUUCGGAUCGUAAAACUCUGUUAUUAGGGAAGAACAUAUGUGUAAGUAACUGUGCACAUCUUGACGGUACCUAAUCAGAAAGCCACGGCUAACUACGUGCCAGCAGCCGCGGUAAUACGUAGGUGGCAAGCGUUAUCCGGAAUUAUUGGGCGUAAAGCGCGCGUAGGCGGUUUUUUAAGUCUGAUGUGAAAGCCCACGGCUCAACCGUGGAGGGUCAUUGGAAACUGGAAAACUUGAGUGCAGAAGAGGAAAGUGGAAUUCCAUGUGUAGCGGUGAAAUGCGCAGAGAUAUGGAGGAACACCAGUGGCGAAGGCGACUUUCUGGUCUGUAACUGACGCUGAUGUGCGAAAGCGUGGGGAUCAAACAGGAUUAGAUACCCUGGUAGUCCACGCCGUAAACGAUGAGUGCUAAGUGUUAGGGGGUUUCCGCCCCUUAGUGCUGCAGCUAACGCAUUAAGCACUCCGCCUGGGGAGUACGACCGCAAGGUUGAAACUCAAAGGAAUUGACGGGGACCCGCACAAGCGGUGGAGCAUGUGGUUUAAUUCGAAGCAACGCGAAGAACCUUACCAAAUCUUGACAUCCUUUGACAACUCUAGAGAUAGAGCCUUCCCCUUCGGGGGACAAAGUGACAGGUGGUGCAUGGUUGUCGUCAGCUCGUGUCGUGAGAUGUUGGGUUAAGUCCCGCAACGAGCGCAACCCUUAAGCUUAGUUGCCAUCAUUAAGUUGGGCACUCUAAGUUGACUGCCGGUGACAAACCGGAGGAAGGUGGGGAUGACGUCAAAUCAUCAUGCCCCUUAUGAUUUGGGCUACACACGUGCUACAAUGGACAAUACAAAGGGCAGCGAAACCGCGAGGUCAAGCAAAUCCCAUAAAGUUGUUCUCAGUUCGGAUUGUAGUCUGCAACUCGACUACAUGAAGCUGGAAUCGCUAGUAAUCGUAGAUCAGCAUGCUACGGUGAAUACGUUCCCGGGUCU
rnacentral:rRNA from 1 species